UACAGAGGGGGCGAGCGUUGUUCGGAAUUACUGGGCGUAAAGGGCGCGUAGGCGGCCCGCUAAGUCAGACGUGAAAUCCCUCGGCUCAACCGGGGAACUGCGUCUGAUACUGGUGGGCUCGAAUCCGGGAGAGGGAUGUGGAAUUCCAGGUGUAGCGGUGAAAUGCGUAGAUAUCUGGAGGAACACUGGUGGCGAAGGCGGCAUCCUGGACCGGUAUUGACGCUGAGGCGCGAAAGCCAGGGGAGCAAACGGG
rnacentral:rRNA from 1 species